AGCUGUAGAGCCACCUUCGUUUCAAACAAUUCCCCGUUCUCUCUUCUCCCCACAUCUCUUUCAUUCAGAUUUGACUCUAUGGUCUCUUCCAUCAUCCGGAAGAAGCCUGCGUUGCUUCUAUACAUCUCAAACACCAUGCCCAUUUGCCCGCCAUGCUCCAUUGUGUUCACCACGCUUGCCAUGGCUCCAGCUACGACUCCUAGUGUGGCGGCCCAGGGACCGUGAGAAGAUCCCACGAACGCAGUUCCACAAGCCGCUAAGCCUGUCAAUAAGGGACCAGAAAUGGCGAGCAUCCUGUUAACUUUCAAGGCUAUUUUGCCCAGCCUCAAAUAGUCUUCAGUGUCCUUUCUCUUCAAAACCCCAACUACUUCUCUCAUUUCUUCCUCCAACUCCACACUCCAACCAUUUCCAUCUGUUCUCCCACUCUGCCUGUCCUGCCUUCGCCUGUGCUCCGGCCACCAUACAGCAGGCUCCACAGUUUUGGGGAAUUUAUCGAGCAUCGCUCCUAGUAAAGGAAGCGGGAAGGCCUUGUCCAGUGACAAAACUUUCUCCAUAACUUCCUCAACAUCGGUACUAGUAGGAGUGCCACAAGAGAGUGUUCUUUGAAUCUGGCCAUGAAGCUGCUUAAACAACCUCGCGGCAUUGCGCUGUUCUUCGACGAGUUGAGAUGGCUGGAUCUUAUUCAUCACCACCAACAUCCCAGUGGCUGCCAAAUACAUCAGAGUGGAAGAGAGCUUGAGAGCUACAAGGGGUCCUCCUACACUUGUAGCAGCAAUUCCAGCCAUGGUUGCAGCAGUGAGUGUGAUUGCAUUAAUCGAUGUCAAAAGAAGAUGGUUCCAAUUAUCACGCUGCUCCCCGAUAUUCUUGUGCAUCUCCACUCUAUCUGCCACAGCCUCCAUGAUUGCAUGGAGUUUAGCAAUCACCGAAGGAUCAGAAACAUCGCUCACAGAAGGGAAAAUACCAUUAGUACUCGGCUCGUAUUUCUUCUCCAAAUUGCUGGUGGUUGCAGCUGUGAGACCAACUCCCAUGUCCAGUACUUCCUGUAGUACCAAAUCUCUAGCGGGGAGGUUCAAAGAUAGGCGGCCGGGCUGGAGUUUAGGCAUAUUGAUAGUAGCUCUUAUCAUUCCUCUCCGGCAACGAGAUGAGGAAUAAGCCACUGACGUAAUAACAGCCGAUGAAAAUUGAAGACUCACCAUGUCCUCUCCUUGAACGAUCUGUAUGAGUUUCUUCUUGUUGCUAAGAUUGGUUGAUUCUAAUGGGUAUGUAGUGAAUGGCUUAGGCUUGUAGUGAAAUGUGGUGGCAAUGCAACCUGGAUUAUAUAUAGGGAAUGGGAGUGGACCAAGUACGCUAUUCAACGUUUGAAUGGUCUCAUGGGUCUUGGCUUAGACCUUUUCUUGUCUUUGGUUAAUUGGUGUUUCACCUCUCAAUUACGCUGCUUGUCAAAUAGGGCAUUGAGGCAGUACUUCAUUGACUUUUAACCUGCGAAAACCAGUAAAACCUUGAAAUAGGCGUAGGCAUUACAAGUACAUAUUUUAAUUAAGAGUUCAAAAUCCCAAUGAGUACGAACAAUUCCUUCAGCUCAUUAUCACUCGUUAGAGAUAUUUGUCAAAUGUUUUUGAGGUGAUAUAUGAUGAAGAAUUUAAAUUUAAAUUCCCAAUAAGGGGUCAUGACCAGAAAUAAUAAAAUCAACUUUUGCUUCUCCAAUAUUUCUGGGUCUGAAUUCUGUAGCCACAUAUCGUUGAUCAGCAGAUAUAUUUGACGUAACUAAAACAUGGGAUUUGUUCAAAGAUUACAAGUAUUUUGAGCAUUAUCACCAUUAUUUGGUCAAAAAGUGCUACUGUUAUAAUCCAACAUUCAGCCUGUCUGAGACCCAAAUGUUAUGGCUUAAAGCAAGCACUAAGUGCAUUGUAUGGUCAAAUUAAUGGAUACUUCAAGCAAAAAUCUAUGUUGUAUGUUAAGACGAGGUAUGAAUGAAAUAUUUGGUAUUUGCCUUUUAAGUUUAUGGUUUGAUUUAUACUAGUGAAUGUACGUAUUAUUUUAAUGAAAGAAUUUUAAAAAGAUGAUGAUCACUAAAUUUGAGAUGAUUGAUUUAACUUGAUGAGUUAUUUUCUUAUGUUGGAAAUACAGAAAUUUUUAUUUUUCAAGAGAAGUAUAAAAAUAUUCUUCUUUAGAAAUUUGAAAUGAAGAACUAAAAUCUAAUGAAAACUCUUAUGAAUGUCAAUGAAAAAUUUUAUUUGAAUGAUAGGGGAUAAAAGGUUGAUAUUCAAGAGUAAUGAAGUUUGGUUGGUAGCUUGUUAUAUCUCACCAAUAAUAGGUUAAAUAUUAUGCAAGCAACAAGUCUCUUAUUAAGGCUUAUGCAAAGUUCAAGCAAGCUUUAUUAUGAUGCAAGUAAGAAAGUCUUAAGAUAUUUAAAAGGAACAAGUUCAUAUAGUAUUUGGUACACUAAUAUAACUGAUCUUUAGCUUUGUUUUUUUUUUAAAAAUUUUGUAGUGAUUGGAUAGGUUUCAUCGAAGAUUGAAAAAUAACCAUAGGCUAUAUUUUCAAUCUUAGUUCAGGUUUGUGGAAUUCAAAGAGUCAUCAAUUGCUUUGUCUUCCUUAGAAGCGGAACAUAUUGCAACAACUUUUAGAGCUUAUGAAAUUAUUUGGUUAAGAGGAAUUUUAGAAGAUAUGAAACAACAUUAAGAAGAGCCCACAAUUAUCCAUUAUGAUAAUCAUUCAACGAUUUUUGUGACAAACAACCUCCAUGUUUCAUGGGUGCACAAAACAUAUAAAGAUACUUUUUCAUUUUAUCAAAGAGUUGGUAGUCAAAGUUAUUAUUAAGAUGAUAUAUUAUAACAUCAAUGAAUAACUUGGUGAUAUAUUUAUGAAAUCUCUAUCUUUAGAGAUAUUUGAGUUUUCACGGAUAUUUUAGGAGUUGCAACAUUUCAGCAUUAAGUAGAGAGUUGGAAUUAAUGUUGAUAUUUUAUUGGUUAGCUACAAUUUUAUUUUAAAUCAAAUAAAAUAAAAAAUAUAGUAUACCAUCUUUGGAAGUAUUCCAUACUUGUAUAAGUGGAUUAGUGUUAGUCAACUAGUAGUUAACUUAUUUAAGAAUUUGUUAGAGUUGGAUUGUUUAUUUAAAUGCAAAUUGAUUAAUAAAAAAUCAAUCUAAUUCAAUUAGACUUCUUGCUUCUUAUCCAAACAUUUUUAAGUGCUCUAUUUUAUUUUUACUUCUCACUUCUUAAUAGUUGAACUUCUUUUGGAUUAUCAGGCUCAUUCCUUAACUUAGGCUUUCUUUGGUGCGAUCGAUCUCACUUGUAGAUUUAGAAAUAUUUCCCUCAAAUAUGGGAAGAAAAUUGUGAAAAUAUUUCAAUUAAAAAGUAAAGAGUGUGUGUGGGAGGAGGAGGGAAAACAGGGAAACUAGAAUUAUACCAGGCACAUGCAAUGAUGCUGUGGAAGAUGACACGGAACUGGAGCAACACAUACUGGUGAUUGACCCAUCCCACCACCGGCUUGAAGGCCCAGAGCCGCAUUUACAUCCAUUAGAGAUUUUCAAAAGGAUGUAAUCAUAUCUGAUAGUGUAAAUAAUGAUCAAUGUAUACAGCACUGCUGGAUAAUCCUUCUUGAUCUUAGUUUUCACAUGGGUCUAGGGUCUUCUUGCAUUUCAUAAGAGUAUACAAUCUAAGGGUCUGGUCAUGGACUGUAAGUAUUUUAUAUCAAUGCCUCUAUGCCAAGCCUAGUCACCAAUCUGCAAUUUUUUUAGGCUUUGUUUAUAUGGUUGUUUACUCUAAAUUAAAUAUUGAUUGAGGAAUUUCUUAUGCCAAUAUGUAGCAAGGUCAACCAGGGAACUGGUUUACAUCCAAUGCCUUCAUUGCAUCUAUCUCUGAUGUGCAUAUGGCCCUCUAUUCCUAUGUAUUGCUUGCAAGAUUCCAUAUAGUAUUGAAGUUAUACAAGGAUCAAGGUGAGGGUUGCCUACCUAUAUUUCCAUGAAACUUGAAGAUAUGAUCAUGGACAUUACCCUCAACAACCAGCCCAUAGUAGACCAUUUAUACAAAGUUGUUCCAAGGUGAAGAUGUCAAUUAUUCGAUGACCCCCUGAAAUAAAUAAUUUAAUUCGGCAAUUAAUUAGAAUAGAACAACACGUUAGACAUAAAUCAGUACCCGUAGUAGACCCUAGGAUUUCCGGAAAUUUAAGGUUCACAUUUAACCCUAAAACUCCAUGAAAUCUAUAUAAAAACUGGAACAUUAUUUCUACAUCUUGGAGUCUAUUAAUUAAUUUUUCCUUCUUGUUGGAUUCAAAUUCCCAGCAUCAAAGUUCGUUAAAAUUCAAUGGAGUGACAACUAUCUACUGUAAAGAAAGAAUCAUUUGGUGGCAAACCCACCAUUUACUUUGCCUUAUGAUAGAAGUCAGAACCUCCUCAGACUCAAAAGUAUCUGCCUUAUUUCAAUAGAGUUCAAACGAAGGAAUGAUAAUUUUGACCUUUUCCAUGUAUAGUUUACACUGUUUUUCCUCCCCUCUAUAUAUAGUAUAUAUGGACUCGACUAACCCACCAACCCCAUACGAAAAUGAAACUUUUCUGUCUCAGAAGCUGCAUUUUCUUAGUUGCCAUUUAGAUUUUCAUGCUUUCUUCACUAGAAAAAAAAAAAAAAAAAAACCAAAGAAAUUUUAGAUGAUAAAGAAAAAGUAUAAAGUAUUGCAUUGUUUAUUAUUCAUGGACUUUCAUCUCCAAAUUGACCCAGAAAUACAUCGGUUUUAGCUGAAAGCAUAUAAAACUUUUUAAUUUUCAGUUUCGGUGAGCAGAUGUGUUCAAAUUGCUGAAUAGAAAACGGACUAAUUCAAUUUCCAUGGAAUAUUCAGACCUUUUAGCAGUCUGAUUUCAAUUGAAUGAAUGAAUAAAUGAAUUACUAGAUUGUACAGCCCUAUUGUGUUUAUAGACAAGGUUACAAUGAUAUACAAGAUUUAGUGUAUUAUCAACAAAACUGAGGAUGAACCACCACGAUAUUAGAAGAGCUUGCUUGCAAACUCUUCAAUGGCCUCUCCUUUUUUGGAAGAAGAAUAAGAGGAUGCUGCCAGAUCCUUGAGCCCGGACAAGCUUCUUCCUAGCUGUAGAGCCACCUUCAUUUCAAACAAUUCCCCAUUCUCUCUUCUCCCCACAUCUCUUUCAUUCAGAUUUGACUCUAUGCUCUCUUCCAUCAGCCGGAAGAAGCCUGCGUUGCCUCUAUACAUCUCAAACACCAUGCCCACUUGCCAGCCAUGCUCCAUUGUGUUCACCACGCUUGCCAUGGCUCCAGCUACGACUCCUAGUGUCGCGGCCCAGGGACCAUGAGAAGAUCCCACGAACGCAGUUCCACAAGCCGAUAAGC
rnacentral:lncRNA from 1 species